rnacentral:rRNA from 1 species
GACGAACGCUGGCGGCGUGCUUAACACAUGCAAGUCGAACGGAAAGGCCCUGCUUUUGUGGGGUGCUCGAGUGGCGAACGGGUGAGUAACACGUGAGUAACCUGCCCUUGAAUUUGGGAUAACUUCAGGAAACUGGGGCUAAUACCGGAUAGGAUCUCCUGCUGCAUGGUGGGGGUUGGAAAGUUUCGGCGGUUGGGGAUGGACUCGCGGCUUAUCAGCUUGUUGGUGGGGUAGUUGCUUACCAAGGCUUUGACGGGUAGCCGGCCUGAGAGGGUGACCGGCCACAUUGGGACUGAGAUACGGCCCAGACUCCUACGGGAGGCAGCAGUGGGGAAUAUUGCACAAUAGGCGGGAGCCUGAUGCAGCAGCGCCGCGUGCGGGAUGACGGGCUACGGGUUGUAAACCGAUUUCGCCUGUGACGAAGCGUGAGUGACGGUAAUGGGUAAAGAAGCACCGGCUAACUACGUG